rnacentral:rRNA from 1 species
UACGUAGGGUGCGAGCGUUAAUCGGAAUUGUACUGGGCGUAAGCGUGCGCAGGUGGUCAUGCAAGACAGAUGUGAAAUCCCGGGCUUAACCUUGGGAACUGCAUUUGUGACUGCAACGGCUUAGAGUGCGGCAGAGGGGGAUGGAAUUCCGCGUGAUAGCAGUGAAAUGCGUAGAUAUGCGGAGGAACACCGAUGCGAAGGCAAUCCCUGGGCCUGCACUGAACGCGUCAUG